rnacentral:rRNA from 1 species
UACGUAGGGGGCGAGCGUUGUCCGGAUUCAUUGGGCGUAAAGAGCUCGUAGGCGGCUUGGCAAGUCGGGUGUGAAAACUUCAGGCUCAACCUGGAGAUGCCACUCGAUACUGCUAUGGCUAGAGUCCGGUAGGGGACCACGGAAUUCCUGGUGUAGCGGUGAAAUGCGUAGAUAUCCGGAGGAACACCGGUGGCGAAGGCGGCUUCCUGGACCGACACUGACGCUGAGGCGCGAAAGCUAGGGGAGCAAACGGG